rnacentral:sRNA from 2 species
AAACCAAAAAGGCCGAAUCCCCGGUAGUACCGGGGUAUGGGGGAAAUUAAUGGCAAGGGGUGAAUCCGGCCUUUCCCUUAAGGGGGUGAGGAAGAGCGGGAGGCCGGUAGGGUGGCCCUCGACCCGAACCCGUCAACUAACCCCAGAGGCCGAAAGAGGGGGUAA